CCUACGGGAGGCAGCAGUGAGGAAUUUUGGUCAAUGGACGCAAGUCUGAACCAGCCAUGUCGCGUGAAGGAGGACGGCCCUAAGGGUUGUAAACUUCUUUUGCAGUGGAAUAAAGUUUGCCACGUGUUGGCGAUUUGCAAGUACGCUGCGAAUAAGGAUCGGCUAACUCCGUGCCAGCAGCCGCGGUAAUACGGAGGAUCCGGGCGUUAUCCGGAUUUAUUGGGUUUAAAGGGUGCGCAGGCGGGGAAUUAGGUCGGCGGUGAAAUUUCGGGGCUCAACCUCGACAGUGCCGUUGAAACCGUUUCUCUUGAGUGCGGAUGAGGUAGGCGGAAUUUGUGGUGUAGCGGUGAAAUGCGUAGAUAUCACAAGGAACACCGAUUGCGGAGGCAGCUUACUAAACCGUUACUGACGCUCAUGCACGAAGGCGUGGGGAUCAAACAGGAUUAGAUACCCUGGUAGUCCACGCAGUAAACGAUGAUUACUUGCUGUUUGCGAUACACAGUAAGCGGCGAAGCGAAAGCGUUAAGUAAUCCACCUGGGGAGUACGUUCGUAAGAAUGAAACUCAAAUGAAUUGACGG
rnacentral:rRNA from 1 species